UGUGUCCUCACACCACUAUAUGAGGUGGAGUGUGGUAUAAAUACAGUGCAAUUUAAAUCUCCGUUCUGCCACUUACUCCCUUGUG